rnacentral:tRNA from 1 species
GCGGAAACAGCUCAGCGAGUAGAACACCACCCUGCCUAAGAGCGGGGGUGCGAGUUCGAGUCUCGUUUUCCGCU